rnacentral:rRNA from 1 species
AACGAACGCUGGCGGCGUGGAUAAGACAUGCAAGUCGAACGGGAACUUCAGCUGUAGCAAUACAGUUGAAGUUUUAGUGGCGAACGGGUGCGUAACACGUGGGCAAUCUGCCGAGAAGUGGGGGAUAGCUCGCCGAAAGGCGAAUUAAUACCGCAUAUGAUCAGCUAAGACAUCUUAGCGACAUCAAAGCCGGGGCAACCUGGCGCUUUUUGAGGAGCCCGCGGCCUAUCAGCUAGUUGGUGAGGUAACGGCUCACCAAGGCUAUGACGGGUAGCUGGUCUGAGAGGACGACCAGUCACACUGGAACUGAGACACGGUCCAGACACCUACGGGUGGCAGCAGUCGAGAAUUUUUCUCAAUGGGGCAACCCUGAAGGAGCGACGCCGCGUGGAGGAUGAAGG